CAUAGACCCGCAGCUGGGCGGUCCCGGGACCCCAAGGAGCCCGCGAACCGAAGAGCUGGUGCGGGUAGCCCACGCGAUGCUUGCGCCACUUUGGACCCCAUGGCCAGGCCCCUUCGAAGCCAGGGGAAGUGACCGCCCGAGAAACGGGAAGGCAUAAUAAAAUUCUUGCACCAUUCAUCUCAUCUUGGAGUCAGCUUCUAGAAGAACCUGGACUGAUGAAGAACCUUUUUGACUCAGAGCCCAGAGGCCAAGAGGGACUGAUGGAGCCGAUGGUCCCAAUCUGGACCAAAAGACUGAGAAUUGCGGGGAGCCAAUGGUAUAAGUGCUGGUCUGAGUCCAAAGGCCUGAGAACCAGGAGCACCAAAGUUAGAGGGCAGGAGAAGAUGGAUGUCCCAGCUCAAGCAAAGAGAGAAAUUUCACCCUUCCUCUAACUUAUUCUCCCCCUGCCAUCUUCUUCUACCUCCCCAGGUGGCUCAGGUGGUUGGAGUGCUGUGCUCUUAACACUGAGGUUGCCGGUUCGAUUCCCACAUGGGCCAAUAAGCUACUCCCUCUACAGCUAAUAUUGUGAACAACAGUUGGACUGCCCUGAGUAACUUAUUCUUUUAAGAGGCCUUUAAUGGAUGGGAUGAUGCCCAUCUGAAUUGGUAAGGGCAACCUUCUUUACUCAGUCUGCCGAUUCAAAUGUUAAUAAUCUCUUCUAGAAAUACUCUCAGAGACACACUCACAAAUAAUUUUAACCAGCUAUCUGGGCAUCCCUUAGUCCAUUCAAGUUGACACUUCUAUUAAUCAUCACUUACAUGUUUCCUCUUCUCCAUUUAACAGAUAAGGAGACAAAGGGACAGUCUCAGUGAAUUAAGAUUUGACUGGGGAGCAUAGUCUUGUGAGCAGGACACUGAACUAAGUGUAGUGGACAUUUCUUGGGUGCUUCUGUUCUUCUGCCAGGAGCACCACCAUUUAGUUUUGUGGAAGUAGCCUUCUACACUGGAUACAGUCUUGAUGGGAGUCACUCAAGGUGCUUCCUCUCCCUUGCUCAAGGGUUGGCAAGCAACUCAAGUCAGACUGAAGUGGGGGCUCUCUCCCAGAACCUGAACUGGAAAUGGUUGAAAGCAUUCAUUCAGAAGUUAGGACUCAAGAGAGCCUCCUGUGGCUCCUGCAGCAGACCUCUAGUACCUCUGUCUCCAUCCUUAAGGAGCCAGGAACUUUGGCUUUCUCUCAAGUCUAUGGCCAACCUCAAAGCGUUCUAGGACUUUCCUUUGCUUAAGUUAAUAAGCAGAGGUGGUUUCCACUGGUUGCAUUGUAUUCCAUCUUUCAGGAGAGUCCCUUGAAAACAAAAACCAGAAAGGGACAGCAAGGAAACACUAAAGUUUAUCCCCUCACAAGUGGACCAUACCUUUCCCUUUAAAAGCACUAUGACAUUCAGUGUCUUAAAUGAACCUCUCGUGAUCCUCCUCCUCAUGAGGAAACAGAGCCUGCCCAGAGUUAUAAUUAGGGAGCAGUGGGGUUGGUAUACACUCAGUUGUCUGACUCAGUAAUGCUGGACUGGGAUCUCUCAAAUCACUCCUCCAAAGGCUCACCUUGGUCUCCGACUGUGAUUUGGGCCUCACCACUUAUGUCCUGUGGGACCUUCUCUGGACCUCCAUUUCCAUGUCUGUAACUUGAAGAUGUUGGAUUACCUGCUCCUAAAGCUCCUUCCCCUUCUCAAAUUUCCUCUUUCUGUGAGAAGUUGUGGGUAGAAAAUAGAAUGUAAGAAGAAUGAACAUUUCCUCCCUACUUAAUAUGUGCCAGGCCUAUUCUAAACCGUCAUUAAUUCUCAUAAUAGUGUGACUGCGAUAGAGGCUCCACGAGGGCAGGGGCUCUGCUUUGUUCACUUUGAAUCCGCUCUGCGCUUGACAUAAAGUAGACAAACAAUAAAUGUUAGAAUAGAUGAAUAAACAAGCUGAAAAAAAAAUUUUUAAUCAAUAAAUGAAUUAGGGAGGGGAAAGAGACUAAUUUUCUUCAGAUUUUUAUGGUCUCUUGAUUUUCUUGAAGCUCAUUUGGGUUCUCACGAUUUCUCAGGUAGGCUCUAGGUGUUUUAAGGAAAUUCCUGAAUCAGAUCCCUUCUUUCGGCUGCUGUGAAGAUAGGAUUCUUGAAUCUGCUUCAUUUCUCUUUUUCUUCUUUGAAGUAGAACCAAUUACCAAGCACAAUGGUGCAAGUACCGU